AGCGGGAAGGCAGCUUCCUGGCCCCAGGCCCGCUGGGGAGUUCUGCGCAAGCGCGUUAGUCGUGCGACAACCGUCACUUACGGCCGAAACGGUUUGUGCGGGGAGUUGGCGGCGCGCUGCAGCUCUUAGGGACGGACGGCUCGGGCGCGGGACUGGUAUCCGGGGACUGACUCGCAGGGUCCGCCAUGGAGCCAGAGCAGAUGCUGGAGGGACAGACGCAGGUUGCAGAAAAUCCUCACUCCGAGUACGGUCUCACAGAUAACGUCGAGAGGAUAGUAGAAAAUGAGAAGAUUAAUGCAGAAAAGUCAUCAAAACAGAAAGUGGAUCUACAGUCUUUGCCAACUCGUGCCUACCUGGAUCAGACAGUUGUGCCUAUCUUAUUACAGGGACUUGCUGUGCUUGCAAAGGAAAGGAUGUUUCCCCCAAAAUGUAUACACACUUUGAAUAAUUAUUAAUUCCGAUGGGUUAAACCAGAAAAGGAAGAAACAUCAAUUGAGCUAUCAGAAAAAAACCACCAAAUCCCAUUGAAUUUCUAGCAUCAUAUCUUUUAAAAAACAAGGCACAGUUUGAAGAUCGAAACUGAUUGGGAAGAACAGAAAAAUUUGGUUUCUACUAUAGAUUUACAUGAUUAAGAGGCAGCUUUAAUUGCCAUGAUUUCCCCCCACCCCUUUUUGGAAGUAUAAGAACCUUCAGGACAACAACUUGUUCUUGGAGUUGCAGAAGAAAACAUAUUUCCCUUAUUUUGAUUUAAUCACCAUACUUAUAUUUAAAGAGUGUAUUAUGUGCAAUUUUUUCUCAGAUUGUCUUUAACUUUGUUUUUAAAAUGACCUUCAAAAUAAACUGUUAAAUGUCA